GGGCCCGUGGCUCAGCCAGGUAGAGCGGCUGGCUCUUAACCAGUAGGUCGGGGGUCCAAAUCCCCCCGAACCCG
rnacentral:tRNA from 1 species